rnacentral:lncRNA from 1 species
GCGCCUCUGUUCUUUACAACGCCGUGCUCCGCUGAUGUUUCCAUCGCUCUCAGCUCGUGUGCCUUUCCCUGUCCUUGGGGCUCUCCCCUCCACUCCUCCUCAGCUCUGUGCUUUAGGGGAGACAGGUCUCGACUCCCGAAGGAUUUUGGGGGGAAUUUGAGACAGGCAGAACCUGGCUGGGCCCUGCAGUGCUCCAGCUGCAUUUCAGGGCGCCAGGGUGCUGCGCUGUCCCACGGUUUGGGGCCAGGCUGGGAGAGCAAUGCUGGACCACCCUCCCCUGGCGAGGGGAUCAGAGGAGCCGAGGGGAUCCUUGGACAAUGUCACAGGAGGGCUCUUGGGGUUAGGAGGGGGUCCGGGGUAAAACCAGGAGUGUUUGCCCCCUGCCCAGAUGUGUUUGCCCCCUGCCCAGAUGUGUUUGCCCCCUGCCCAGGCGUGUUUGCCCCCUAUCCAGGUGUGUUUGCCGCUGCUCAGGUGUUUUUGCCCUCUAACCAGGUGUCUUUGCCCCCAGCCCGGGUGUGUUUGCCCCUCUGGGGUUUUCCCCGGGUGCGCUCUCCCCGCUCCAUCCGUGCGGCUCCCGCAGGCACAGCGCUCCGGGCAGCGCCGCUGGAACUCCGGGAAUUGUCCCGUCCCGCAGGCUCCCGGCCGCAUCCCGGCUGCUUCAGCAUCCCCCGGAUGGGGAUGGAGGGGUCGGAGGAUGAGGCAUUGGCCGGGCGGGCUGUGGGGAGGGGCUGCGGGCUUGCGGAGCUCGCCCUGCUCACCCCUCUCCCCACUCCCAGAAAAGCCCUGGGGACCCCCCCACACUUUGUAAAUGCCGGGAACGAAGCCGGGGAGAGCCCUGUUUCCACGCAGGCUCUUCAAAUUAGAAUUUACCGCCGCAUAAAAAUGGGGGAAAAGCCGCUUCUUUCCCGGAUUCCCUUUUUCCGAAGCAUCACCCCCAAAAUCCAGGGCAAGGCGAAGUCCCCCCGGUCCUGCCCUUUCCCGGCCGCUUGUCCCCAGCGCUCCCUUAGCCGGGCCGGGCUAUAA